UACGUAGGCAGCAAGCGUUGUUCGGAGUUACUGGGCGUAAAGAGUGCGUAGGCGGUCCUAUAAGUUCCGUGUGAAAUCUCCCGGCUCAACUGGGAGGGUGCGCGGAAGACUGUAGGGCUAGAGUAUGGGAGAGGUAAGCGGAAUUCCUGGUGUAGCGGUGAAAUGCGUAGAUAUCAGGAGGAACACCUGUGGUGUAGACAGCUUACUGGACCAUCACUGACGCUGAGACACGAAAGCGUGGGUAGCAAACAGG
rnacentral:rRNA from 1 species